rnacentral:rRNA from 1 species
UACGUAGGAGGCGAGCGUUGUCCGGAUUCAUUGGGCGUAAAGAGCGCGCAGGCGGCUUGGUAAGUCGGAUGUGAAAUCCCGAGGCUCAACCUCGGGUCUGCAUCCGAUACUGCCCGGCUAGAGGUAGGUAGGGGAGAUCGGAAUUCCUGGUGUGAGCGGUGGAAAUGCGCAGAUAUCAGGAGGAACACCGGUGGCGAAGGCGGAUCUCUGGGCCUUACCUGACGCUCAGGCGCGAAAGCUAGGGGAGCGAACUGG